GCCUCUAAGCUUCAGUUUAACAGUGACCGUACCGCAAACCGACACAGGUGGGCGAGAUGAGUAUUCUAAGGCGCUUGAGAGAACUCGGGAGAAGGAACUCGGCAAAUUGGUACCGUAACUUCGGGAUAAGGUACGCCCCUGUAGCUUGACUGGCCUGCGCCAGAAGGGUGAAGGGGUUGCAAUAAACUGGUGGCUGCGACUGUUUAAUAAAAACACAGCACUCUGCAAACACGAAAGUGGACGUAUAGGGUGUGACGCCUGCCCGGUGCCGGAAGAUUAAAUGAUGGGGUGCAAGCUCUUGAUUGAAGUCCCGGUAAACGGCGGCCGUAACUAUAACGGUCCUAAGGUAGCGAAAUUCCUUGUCGGGUAAGUUCCGACCUGCACGAAUGGCGUAACGAUGGCCACACUGUCUCCUCCCGAGACUCAGCGAAGUUGAAGUGUUUGUGAUGAUGCAAUCUCCCCGCGGCUAGACGGAAAGACCCCAUGAACCUUUACUGUAGCUUUGCAUUGGACUUUGAACCGAUCUGUGUAGGAUAGGUGGGAGGCUAUGAAACCGGAACGCUAGUUUCGGUGGAGCCGUCCUUGAAAUACCACCCUGGUUUGUUUGAGGUUCUAACCUUGGCCCGUGAUCCGGGUCGGGGACAGUGCAUGGUAGGCAGUUUGACUGGGGCGGUCUCCUCCCAAAGUGUAACGGAGGAGUACGAAGGUACGCUAGGUACGGUCGGAAAUCGUGCUGAUAGUGCAAUGGCAUAAGCGUGCUUAACUGCGAGACCGACAAGUCGAGCAGGUGCGAAAGCAGGUCAUAGUGAUCCGGUGGUUCUGUAUGGAAGGGCCAUCGCUCAACGGAUAAAAGGUACUCUGGGGAUAACAGGCUGAUACCGCCCAAGAGUUCAUAUCGACGGCGGUGUUUGGCACCUCGAUGUCGGCUCAUCUCAUCCUGGGGCUGUAGCCGGUCCCAAGGGUAUGGCUGUUCGCCAUUUAAAGAGGUACGUGAGCUGGGUUUAAAACGUCGUGAGACAGUUUGGUCCCUAUCUGCCGUGGGCGUUGGAUAUUUGAAGGGGGCUGCUCCUAGUACGAGAGGACCGGAGUGGACGAACCUCUGGUGUACCGGUUGUCACGCCAGUGGCAUCGCCGGGUAGCUAUGUUCGGAAGAGAUAACCGCUGAAAGCAUCUAAGCGGGAAACUCGCCUUAAGAUGAGAUAUCCCCGGGGACUUGAUCCCCUUGAAGGGUCGUUCGAGACCAGGACGUUGAUAGGUCAGGUGUGUAAGCGCAGUAAUGCGUUCAGCUAACUGAUACUAAUUGCCCGUAAGGCUUGAUCCUAUAACC
rnacentral:rRNA from 1 species